rnacentral:rRNA from 1 species
AUUGAACGCUGGCGGUAUGCUUAACACAUGCAAGUCGAACGGUAGCAGAAGAGAGCUUGCUCUCUUGCUGACGAGUGGCGGACGGGUGAGUAAUGCUUGGGAAUCUGCCUAGUAGUGGGGGACAACACGAGGAAACUCGUGCUAAUACCGCAUACGUCCUACGGGAGAAAGUGGGGGAUCUUCGGACCUCACGCUAUUAGAUGAGCCCAAGUCGGAUUAGCUUGUUGGUGAGGUAACGGCUCACCAAGGCGACGAUCCGUAGCUGGUUUGAGAGGAUGACCAGCCACACUGGGACUGAGACACGGCCCAGACUCCUACGGGAGGCAGCAGUGGGGAAUAUUGUACAAUGGGCGCAAGCCUGAUACAGCAAUGCCGCGUGAGUGAAGACGGCCUUAGGGUUGUAAAACUCUUUCGCCAGGGAAGAUAAUGACGGUACCUGGUAAAGAAGUCCCGGCUAACUCCGUGCCAGCAGCCGCGGU